GGUUAAGCGACUAAGCGUACACGGUGGAUGCCCUGGCAGUCAGAGGCGAUGAAGGACGUGCUAAUCUGCGAUAAGCGUCGGUGAGGUGAUAUGAACCGUUAUAACCGGCGAUUUCCGAAUGGGGAAACCCAGUGUGUUUCGACACACUAUCAUUAACUGAAUCCAUAGGUUAAUGAGGCGAACCGGGGGAACUGAAACAUCUAAGUACCCCGAGGAAAAGAAAUCAACCGAGAUUCCCCCAGUAGCGGCGAGCGAACGGGGAGGAGCCCAGAGCCUGAAUCAGUGUGUGUGUUAGUGGAAGCGUCUGGAAAGGCGCGCGAUACAGGGUGACAGCCCCGUACACAAAAAUGCACAUAUUGUGAGCUCGAUGAGUAGGGCGGGACACGUGGUAUCCUGUCUGAAUAUGGGGGGACCAUCCUCCAAGGCUAAAUACUCCUGACUGACCGAUAGUGAACCAGUACCGUGAGGGAAAGGCGAAAAGAACCCCGGCGAGGGGAGUGAAAAAGAACCUGAAACCGUGUACGUACAAGCAGUGGGAGCCUCUUAAUGGGGUGACUGCGUACCUUUUGUAUAAUGGGUCAGCGACUUAUAUUCUGUAGCAAGGUUAACCGAAUAGGGGAGCCGAAGGGAAACCGAGUCUUAACUGGGCGUUAAGUUGCAGGGUAUAGACCCGAAACCCGGUGAUCUAGCCAUGGGCAGGUUGAAGGUUGGGUAACACUAACUGGAGGACCGAACCGACUAAUGUUGAAAAAUUAGCGGAUGACUUGUGGCUGGGGGUGAAAGGCCAAUCAAACCGGGAGAUAGCUGGUUCUCCCCGAAAGCUAUUUAGGUAGCGCCUCGUGAAUUCAUCUCCGGGGGUAGAGCACUGUUUCGGCAAGGGGGUCAUCCCGACUUACCAACCCGAUGCAAACUGCGAAUACCGGAGAAUGUUAUCACGGGAGACACACGGCGGGUGCUAACGUCCGUCGUGAAGAGGGAAACAACCCAGACCGCCAGCUAAGGUCCCAAAGUCAUGGUUAAGUGGGAAACGAUGUGGGAAGGCCCAGACAGCCAGGAUGUUGGCUUAGAAGCAGCCAUCAUUUAAAGAAAGCGUAAUAGCUCACUGGUCGAGUCGGCCUGCGCGGAAGAUGUAACGGGGCUAAACCAUGCACCGAAGCUGCGGCAGCGACACUAUGUGUUGUUGGGUAGGGGAGCGUUCUGUAAGCCUGUGAAGGUGGCCUGUGAGGGUUGCUGGAGGUAUCAGAAGUGCGAAUGCUGACAUAAGUAACGAUAAAGCGGGUGAAAAGCCCGCUCGCCGGAAGACCAAGGGUUCCUGUCCAACGUUAAUCGGGGCAGGGUGAGUCGACCCCUAAGGCGAGGCCGAAAGGCGUAGUCGAUGGGAAACAGGUUAAUAUUCCUGUACUUGGUGUUACUGCGAAGGGGGGACGGAGAAGGCUAUGUUGGCCGGGCGACGGUUGUCCCGGUUUAAGCGUGUAGGCUGGUUUUCCAGGCAAAUCCGGAAAACCAAGGCUGAGGCGUGAUGACGAGGCACUACGGUGCUGAAGCGACAAAUGCCCUGCUUCCAGGAAAAGCCUCUAAGCAUCAGGUAACAUCAAAUCGUACCCCAAACCGACACAGGUGGUCAGGUAGAGAAUACCAAGGCGCUUGAGAGAACUCGGGUGAAGGAACUAGGCAAAAUGGUGCCGUAACUUCGGGAGAAGGCACGCUGAUAUGUAGGUGAAGCGUCUUGCUCGUGGAGCUGAAAUCAGUCGAAGAUACCAGCUGGCUGCAACUGUUUAUUAAAAACACAGCACUGUGCAAACACGAAAGUGGACGUAUACGGUGUGACGCCUGCCCGGUGCCGGAAGGUUAAUUGAUGGGGUUAGCGGUAACGCGAAGCUCUUGAUCGAAGCCCCGGUAAACGGCGGCCGUAACUAUAACGGUCCUAAGGUAGCGAAAUUCCUUGUCGGGUAAGUUCCGACCUGCACGAAUGGCGUAAUGAUGGCCAGGCUGUCUCCACCCGAGACUCAGUGAAAUUGAACUCGCUGUGAAGAUGCAGUGUACCCGCGGCAAGACGGAAAGACCCCGUGAACCUUUACUAUAGCUUGACACUGAACAUUGAGCCUUGAUGUGUAGGAUAGGUGGGAGGCUUUGAAGUGUGGACGCCAGUCUGCAUGGAGCCGACCUUGAAAUACCACCCUUUAAUGUUUGAUGUUCUAACGUUGGCCCCUAAUCGGGGUUGCGGACAGUGUCUGGUGGGUAGUUUGACUGGGGCGGUCUCCUCCUAAAGAGUAACGGAGGAGCACGAAGGUUGGCUAAUCCUGGUCGGACAUCAGGAGGUUAGUGCAAUGGCAUAAGCCAGCUUGACUGCGAGCGUGACGGCGCGAGCAGGUGCGAAAGCAGGUCAUAGUGAUCCGGUGGUUCUGAAUGGAAGGGCCAUCGCUCAACGGAUAAAAGGUACUCCGGGGAUAACAGGCUGAUACCGCCCAAGAGUUCAUAUCGACGGCGGUGUUUGGCACCUCGAUGUCGGCUCAUCACAUCCUGGGGCUGAAGUAGGUCCCAAGGGUAUGGCUGUUCGCCAUUUAAAGUGGUACGCGAGCUGGGUUUAGAACGUCGUGAGACAGUUCGGUCCCUAUCUGCCGUGGGCGCUGGAGAACUGAGGGGGGCUGCUCCUAGUACGAGAGGACCGGAGUGGACGCAUCACUGGUGUUCGGGUUGUCAUGCCAAUGGCACUGCCCGGUAGCUAAAUGCGGAAGAGAUAAGUGCUGAAAGCAUCUAAGCACGAAACUUGCCCCGAGAUGAGUUCUCCCUGACCCUUUAAGGGUCCUGAAGGAACGUUGAAGACGACGACGUUGAUAGGCCGGGUGUGUAAGCGCAGCGAUGCGUUGAGCUAACCGGUACUAAUGAACCGUGAGGCUUAACCUU
rnacentral:rRNA from 1 species